UACGAGUGCCCCAAGCGUUAUCCGGAAUCACUGGGCGUAAAGGGUGUGUAGGCGGCUUGGUUAGUCUCCUGUUAAAACCCUCGGCUUAACCGAGGAGAUGCAGGAGAGACGGCCAAACUCGAGGAGGUAAGGGGUCUAUGGAACUCAUGGUGUAGGGGUGAAAUCCGUUGAUAUCAUGGGGAACGCCAAAAGCGAAGGCAAUAGACUGGUACCUUCCUGACGCUGAAACACGAAAGCGUGGGGAUCAAACGGG
rnacentral:rRNA from 1 species